rnacentral:rRNA from 2 species
UUGGAGAGUUUGAUCCUGGCUCAGGAUGAACGCUGGCGGCGUGCCUAAUACAUGCAAGUCGAGCGACAGAUGAGAAGCUUGCUUCUCUGAUGUUAGCGGCGGAGGGUGAGUACAGUGGGUACCUACUAUAAGAUGGGAUAAUCCGGGAACCGGGGCUAAGCCGGCUAAUAUUUGACCGCAGGUUCAAUAUGAAGAGGUUUCGGCUGUCAUUAUACUGGGCCCGCGCCGUAUUACUAGUUGGUAGCUACCGCUUACAGGCGGCGAGCGUAGCCGACUGACGGGUGACGGCCUCAUGGAUUGAACGCGUUCCCGGCUCCUGGGGUGGUACAUAGGAUUUCCGCAAGGGCGAAGCC